rnacentral:rRNA from 1 species
CAGUCGCCACGGUAAUACGAAGGGGGCUAGCGUUGUUCGGAAUUACUGGGCGUAAAGCGCGCGUAGGCGGACAUUUAAGUCAGGGGUGAAAUCCCGGGGCUCAACCCCGGAACUGCCUCUGAUACUGGGUGUCUAGAGUUCGGAAGAGGUAAGUGGAAUUGCGAGUGUAGAGGUGAAAUUCGUAGAUAUUCGCAGGAACACCAGUGGCGAAGGCGACUUACUGGUCCGAUACUGACGCUGAGGUGCGAAAGCGUGGGGAGCAAACAGGAUUAGAUACCCCGGUAGUCCCUGUCUCUUAUAC